rnacentral:rRNA from 1 species
UACGUAGGUGGCAAGCGUUAUCCGGAUUUAUUGGGUGUAAAGGGCGUGUAGGCGGGAGCGCAAGUCAGAUGUGAAAACUCAGGGCUCAACCCUGAGCCUGCAUUUGAAACUGUGUUUCUUGAGUGCUGGAGAGGCAAUCGGAAUUCCGUGUGUAGCGGUGAAAUGCGUAGAUAUACGGAGGAACACCAGUGGCGAAGGCGGAUUGCUGGACAGUAACUGACGCUGAGGCGUGAAAGCGUGGGGAGCAAACAGG